rnacentral:rRNA from 1 species
CUCUCGGCAUAGGAUGAGACUAUAUUGUAUCAGCUAGUUGGUGAGGUAAUGGCUCACCAAGGCUAUGACGCAUAACUGGUCUGAGAGGAUGAUCAGUCACACUGGAACUGAGACACGGUCCAGACUCCUACGGGAGGCAGCAGUAGGGAAUAUUGCUCAAUGGGGGAAACCCUGAAGCAGCAACGCCGCGUGGAGGAUGACACUUUUCGGAGCGUAAACUCCUUUUCUUAGGGAAGAAAUUUGACGGUACCUAAGGAAUAAGCACCGGCUAACUCCGUGCCAGCAGCCGCGGUAAUACGGAGGGUGCAAGCGUUACUCGGAAUCACUGGGCGUAAAGGACGCGUAGGCGGAUUAUCAAGUCUUUUGUGAAAUCUAAUGGCUCAACCAUUAAACUGCUUGAGAAACUGAUAAUCUAGAGUGAGGGAGAGGCAGAUGGAAUUGGUGGUGUAGGGGUAAAAUCCGUAGAGAUCACCAGGAAUACCCAUUGCGAAGGCGAUCUGCUAGAACUCAACUGACGCUAAUGCGUGAAAGCGUGGGGAGCAAACAGGAUUAGAUACCCUGGUAGUCCACGCCCUAAACGAUGUAUACUAGUUGUUGCUGUGCUAGUCAUGGCAGUAAUGCACCUAACGGAUUAAGUAUACCGCCUGGGGAGUACGGUCGCAAGAUUAAAACUCAAAGGAAUAGACGGGGACCCGCACAAGCGGUGGAGCAUGUGGUUUAAUUCGAAGAUACGCGAAGAACCUUACCUGGGCUUGAUAUCCUAAGAACCUUGUAGAGAUACGAGGGUGCUAGCUUGCUAGAACUUAGUGACAGGUGCUGCACGGCUGUCGUCAGCUCGUGUCGUGAGAUGUUCGGUUAAGUCCGGCAACGAGCGCAACCCACGUAUUUAGUUGCUAACAGUUUGGCUGAGCACUCUAAAUAUACUGCCUUCGUAAGGAGGAGGAAGGUGUGGACGACGUCAAGUCAUCAUGGCCCUUAUGCCCAGGGCGACACACGUGCUACAAUGGCAUAUACAAUGAGACGCAAUAUCGUGAGAUGGAGCAAAUCUAUAAAAUAUGUCCCAGUUCGGAUUGUUCUCUGCAACUCGAGAGCAUGAAGCCGGAAUCGCUAGUAAUCGUAGAUCAGCCAUGCUACGGUGAAUACGUUCCCGGGUCUUGUACUCACCGCCCGUCACACCAUGGGAGUUGAUUUCACUCGAAGUCGGAAUGCUAAACUAGCU